rnacentral:ncRNA from 1 species
CAGCGAGGCUAGGGGUGCCCUUCGGGGCUGAGAGAUUACCCUUGGAACCUGAACCGGAUCAUACCGGCGGAGGGAAGCUUCGGAGCCACGCC